rnacentral:rRNA from 2 species
UGAGGAAUAUUGGUCAAUGGACGCAAGUCUGAACCAGCCAUGCCGCGUGCAGGAUGACGGCUCUAUGAGUUGUAAACUGCUUUUAUACGAGGGUAAACGCAGAUACGUGUAUCUGUCUGAAAGUAUCGUAUGAAUAAGGAUCGGCUAACUCCGUGCCAGCAGCCGCGGUAAUACGGAGGAUUCAAGCGUUAUCCGGAUUUAUUGGGUUUAAAGGGUGCGUAGGCGGAAGUGUAAGUUAGAGGUGAAAUCCCGUCGCUCAACGACGUAAGUGCCUCUGAUACUGCUCUUCUAGCGAGAGAGUGCUGUGGGCGGAAUGUGUAGUGUAGCGGUGAAAUGCUUAGAGAUUACACAGAACACCGAUUGCGAAGGCAGCUCACAAACUCUUUUCGGACGCUGAGGCACGAAAGCGUGGGGAGCAAACAGG